rnacentral:sRNA from 1 species
CCAGACUAGAAUUAUAGAAUUGUUUUGAGUUUUGCAAGUGCUGCUGUUGUCUAGGCAAUUCUGGCCAGUAGUUCCGGUUUUGGUUUCUUCAUCUGAGACAAAAACUCCAAGGGUCUGUUCCAUCACAUCCAGUCAAUAAAGGAAUAAUAUCUAUGAUGUCAGACAACAAUAAAGAUCCAUUUCUGUAGAAGAAGAUCUCACUACCAUGAACACUCUAGGGCUAGGGAGACAUGAACUACAUGAAGACAAUUUUGGGAUGGAGGAAACCACACAGAGACUUCAAUGGGGAACAAAAGUCAAAUGGAGUGUGUUCAAAGGACAUGAUGCCAGUAAAAUGAGAAAAUAGAGUGGAAGAGAGUCCAGAGUUUGUUUUGCUCCCGAUUCAAUAGAGAACAAAGUUAAGAUUAGCGAUGGAGAUAAAAGGAAUCUCUAAAACAAUAAUUCUUAUCAAAAUCCAACAAUC